CGCACUUUAUAUAGGGGUAGGGGUAAAACGCGGAAACGGAACGGAACGGACUGGCGGAACCGGAAAAGCGGAAACGGAAUAGUGGGUAAAACGCGGAAAAGAGGGUAAAACGCGGAAAAGAGGAUAAAACGCGGAAAAGAGGGUAAAACGCGGAAAAGAGGGUAAAACGCGGAAAAGAGGGCAAAACGCGGAAAAGAGGGUAAAACGCGGAAAAGAGGGUAAAACGCGGAAAAAAGGGUAAAACGCGGAAAAGAGGGUAAAACGCGGAAAAGAGGGUAAAACGGGGAAAAGAGGGUAAAACGGGGAAAAGAAGGUAAAACGCGGAAAACAAACUUUGAAACCAAACUUUGACUUUGUUAACAAAAUCAAAUUUAAUCUAAUUAAAUACCAUAAUAAAACGAAGUAAAUGUACCUCAUUACUGUACUUGAGUUCUAUUUUUGACUGAGUCGGCAUGUGACAAAGUAAACUUUCUUUGGAGUACUUUUACUUGGAACGAAGUCGUUUAAAGAAGUAACGUUUUACUUCGUUAUUUUUAUUAUCUUGCGAAGUAUUUUGUUACUUUCUAACUUUUGUUUAAUUUUACGUGAUGUAUUCAGGA
rnacentral:lncRNA from 1 species